CUCAUGUCCUGGGUCACACCUUCUUUCUCCACACACAAAUCCUGUGCCAGCUGGGAAACCUCUCAACAGGAGCAAGCACACACCACUGGAACAGCUCUCAACAGUCAGUUUGACACAUCAUGAACAUGUAGCAAACUCUAAAUGUGCUUCUGCUGGACCAAGAACUUUGCCUGUAUGUUCACCAUGAGAGCACCUUGAGAAGUCUGACAAGCUGCUUUUUGGCUUUCAUCCUACUGACUACUGACCUACAGACACCUUUGCUUAUCAAGAGGAGAAACAGAUCUUCAAUCUGCCACUUAACCAGAGCCAUUCCCGAGCGAG